GAACAUAUCUCAACCAAAUGUUUGUCCAACUUGGCAUCGUAGUAUUACCAUGAUUACCAUGAUUACAGGAGCAAGCUGUUGAUUAUACAUCAUUACGUAUAUAUAGAGACGUUAUCCGGUAAGGUUAACCUAUACAUUUAUAAAAAGGACAUUUUUGUGUUUUACUAGUCUAUUGAGGUUUAUGUUGAUGUCAUUUUUAUAUCAGGUUCUACUUCGUGCUAAGUUUAAUCAUUUUUGUAAAAUGUUAAUAUCAAACGUAUGUGCAUCUUGAACGACGAAAUGUUGAAUGCCAUAUAGGCGGAUCCAGGGGGGGGGAGGAGGUGGCUGGGACCCGGGCCCCCUUUCGUGGGAACAAUUUGGUUGAUUUUAUAGGGAAUCAUUGAAGCAUGACUGGAGCCCCCCCCCCCUUUAUAGGAAAAGUUUUGGAUCCGCCACUGAAUCAUGCUGUACAUAUCGGGGGGCGGUGGGCUUCCUAUCAUCUGGUAUAAGGGGCGGAAAGGAGUGCUUCCUAUUAUACGGUAUAUGGGGUUGUGCCAAAAAUAUAAUUUUGCGAUAUUUUAAAAUAAAAUGACCCCCUUUUUAAUGACAACCUACAUUAAAACAGGGGCAGAUCCAGCCAUUUUUAAAAGGGGGUUCCCAACCCAGGACAAAGGGGGUUCCAACUAUCUGCCCCCUUCAAAUGCAUUGAUCGUCCACAAAAAAAAGGGGGGUUCCAACCAAUGUUAAAAUGUAUUUACGUUUGAUAACUGUUCAUUUUGGUAGGAUCUACAUAUCAUAUAUAUUAAUAUGCUUUUGAGAAUCUUACUUUUUUAAUGGCCAAAUAUUAUAUCAAAUUAUGAUUAAUUCGUUUGAAAGCUUGAAAGUUCGCCUUAGAAAAAAGUUCCCAAAUGAAGCCUGGGAAUUAUGAGGGAUGAUUUAUAAUAUAUUUAAAUAGCGCUUAAGCAUGCCUGGUCAUAUUUUAAAAUAUUGCACAAGUCAAUCAUAUGUUUGGUAUGCAGUUGUAUAAGCAUUGGCAUUAAGGAGGUAUACGGAAAUGAAGGGAUGACCACAACGAAAAAUAAUGGAGAAAAAUGUGAAAAAAAUAAUAAGAAAAGAGAAUUAUUGGGUGCACAAGUAUAAAGAAUAAAUGUGCAAAAAUAUUGGGUAGUAAAAUACUGAUAAUUAACAGACUUUAACAGUGUACAAACUCUGUUCUCAGAACAUUGAUGUUACCCUGAACAUUAAAAUCACGUUUUCAAAAUAAAUUUUGGCAAUGGAGUCGCAAAUAUUGACGAAUGCCUUAUCCCACAAAAACUGGCAAACUAUUAUCAUUCAUCUAGGGACCCCUUGUGGUCAUACUUUUCAUGUAUAAAGUACAUUUCAUAAAAGUACAUUUUGAAAGAUUUGUAUAUAAAUAAAUGAAAUGUUAGGUAUUAAAACAUAUUUAACAGCAACCCAAAGAAAAAGUCAUCUAGUCUCAGAGGACAACAUACCAUUGUGUAGGUGUCUUUAGAAUAUGUUUAACUCCAAAUCGUACCUAUGCAGGCAUUAAUUACAGGUUGAAAAUAACUUUAUAAUUAAAAAUCACUUGACUUAUAUUGCAAAUGCAAAUACAUAUAAUUCACAAAAUAGCGGAUUACAUACGUCAAAAACUGGCACGAAUAAAAGUUGACAUGCACGUGUAAAUAAUACAUGGUUAAUCUUUUUCUUUCUUUUUCUUUUUUUUUUUUUUUAGAUCUCAACCCUUCUUCUCUUUAGAUUCAAUCACUAGGUAAUAUAUUCAUCAAAGAACAUUAUAUGCUAUUGCUAACUUUAUAAAAAAAUCCUAGUAGACAUUAAACUACCAUGAGAUUUUGUAUAGUGUAUCAAUUUCAUAUUUUUGAUCUUUUUUUCUCUCCAAUAAACAUGAAAACGCUUAACUAAAAAUUAUGUUUUAUGAGUGUUAAUGACAUCUUUACAUCAAAUUCAUUGAAUAUUGAAUGUUUACUGAUUGAUAUUUUAUUUUUAGAUACAUGAUUUUUAUUAAUUGUUACCAGUGGCGGAUCCAGAGGGGGGGCGUACAGGGUGUACGCCCCCCCUUUUUCUUGGACUUUUUUUUUUUUUUUUUUUUUGUAAAAGAUUAAUCAGACAAGACUUCGUGAACUUUGAUAUUUCCCGUGUACUUAGUUUUUAUGUGGCAGUUCUUUACUUUAAAGAUAUUUUUCGCUCGUAUUUACUGUUAUAUAUUAUUGGUUAUGUCAAAGUCCUGUGAUUCGCUACGGUGGAGAAAACCAGUGCGUCGAAAAACGUCACUAUGUCAAUUUGAAAAUCAAAUUACAGUAACAAAUUGCUUAUGCUGAGGGUGACAAGAAUGACACCUUCGAUGUGACAAGGAUUGAGCAAGAACGUACUGACUUCUAUUUCAUAAUUCCACCAAACAGAAAGUAAUACUCUAUUACAAUGUCAGGAACAAAAAAGUUCCACAGCAAUAUUAUUUACCUAAAAAAACAUGUUUAACCAAACACGGCCAAGCCUAUUAAUAACAUAGCUGAAUAAUGAUCCUCUGUAAGUAAGCUUAAGAUCUAAGUUACGGACCAUUUGAUUUGAGGGGGCAGUCUGAGAUGUAUAAGAGGAAAAGUUCUGACACUGCUUUCUGCCUUAAAUAAAAUUCUUGUCGUAUCAGGAUUGAAAACAAUAAUCUUGUCCACUUUUUUUGCCAUUUGAAACCAAAAUUUCCAACAGAUUUUUUUUAGAAUUAAAUGACCAUGAUGAUUAAUAAAAGGGAGUAAUUUUUUGGUUCCCGGGGUUUUGCAUGUAAAUCCAGUAUCUGACCUGAAUGUCUGUUUCGCCGAACUGAUUUAUUGAAUACUUUGACCAAGGCCCGACUGCAACCUGCCUGCUGGAUGUUGCCUUAAUGUAUCCAUUUUUCGACCGUCAUUCAUAAAUUCGUUGUCAUUUCAGACUUAUUCGUAGUAUUCUGUUACACCGUUCCGUAAUUUAUAUAGUUCGUUUGAUUAUAUUCUUAAUCUAAUUAUGUGUUCCAACCUAGGAGGAUUAUUCAUCUUUAACUUUAAAACAUCGUACAUCGCUACCUUUCCCUCUCUCAAACCGAACAUUGCAAGAGCAUACCAGUUCUGGAGAACUUUUCAAAAGGACAAACGUCAUCUAGGACACAAUUCGUGGCUAACCACAGAGUGAGUUUAACUUUACAACAUUGUUUUUGAAGCCUUCAAAUUACUCUAUACAUAUGAUUGAACAUUCUCUCCGUGAAACACCUGGAAAUUUAACUGCUCUUGAAAGUACAACAUUUUCUCGGAUUCAACGGACUGUGCUAUCUAUUACCUUUGACAUUUCGUUUUAAUAACAUUAAUUGAACACAUUGUAAAAUUGUAUUUUAUUUGUUUUUCAGCUUUUUACCAUUUGUUAGAUUGGUUCUUAAGAUUAAAGUAUCAGCACCUGAUAGUCUUUUCUGCUUGAGCCCAAUCGUCGGUUAUACUUAAUGGUCAGGCCAUUACAGUAAAAAGUCUACAACUUGCCUGUUGUGUCUCACAGAUAACGCCACUCCACAGCUACACAGCAACCUACCUGUUGAGCCCUGCAUGUACGCGUCAUCCCUUGACGUACAGUAAAUUGACGACAACCUGUCUUUACAUAUCCAGACAAGGAACGACAACGUAGCAACGUACAUACGUACAUACCUUUACACUGACAGUGGGACUACAUAUCUUGUGUGAACUCGACAGCAACCCAACAACGUUGAGUCAACAUGGAUCCCAGUCAUGUGGAACAACAAGAAGAGAUUCAGCCCCAAGAAGGAGGAUGUCCCUGAACUAUUAGAAAAUCCGUCUAAUACAUCACAGUCAGAUGAAAACUCCCGAGGCUAGGCGAGUACGUGACCUCACGGAAAAAGGACAAGGAGCUUUCACUGAAAAAACGUGACAAGUUCUGUCAGGAACUAGAGGUCCUCUGGGCAGACAUUGAAUCCCAGUUAUUGGAAGUAACAACGCCUCCUAACGAUCUCCAGCAACUCCUAACAGUCCAGGACAAACUUGUUAAAGCCUGUAAUAAUUAUCGGUAGGCUCACAGAUGAAUACCUAGACUUUCUGAAAAGGACCAGAACAUUGGAGAGUCAAAAAGAGAAAUAGAUGCAUGUAAACUCUCUUUGGAUUUACGUCUGUCCAAAGUGGAACUUGUUGCCAUGGAAAAACUACACGAGCAUCGCCUCGCCCUAACAAAGUCCAAAUCCACUAAAACAAAAGACCUCAAAAGGUAAGAAAACCUCACGCAGUGGUAGCUCUAACGUGUCAGACAUGUCAAGCCUAGCACGGAGAAAGCGUGCCAAGGCAGAGGCUGCCAAGUCUAAAAUAGCCUUUGUAGAAAAACAUGCCUUAUCCUACAACAGGAAGCAUGUUAGAGGAACAAGCCCUGUUCAGACAAAUUGAAAUGGAACAGGAAGCAGCACACACAAAAAGGCAAAAAUGGAAGCAAGAAGUCGCUAAACAGGAGGCCGCACAGAGAACAGUGCAAUUAGAACAAGAGGCUAUGCGUAGGAAGGCUCAAAUGCAACAAGAAGCCGUACGGGUAAGCCGUGAAAAAGGCCGAGCUUAAAGCCAAAUUUAACCUUCUUGAAGCACAGAGAGAAGCUGCAGCCGCAGAAGCCGAGGCUCGUAUCCUGGAAUACGAUGACAGCCAAGCGUUAUAGCGAUCUCCCUGACGAAAAGGAAGACCCGCUCCAGCGUGUGCAAGAUUUCGUCAAUAAACUUCCUGUAUCAACUGCUGUAAAGGAAGUAACAGGACCUCAAAAGAAAAAACAAAUUCCUGUUAAAAUUGAGCUGAGUCAUGAAGCACCAGCGUUCGUGCCAUCUGUGGCACUGAACUUGCCAGUCACAAACACCUAAGGUCUUGCCUUACACGUGCUAAGUCACCAGAAGUUAAUUGCAUUCCCAGAUCUGGGAUUAGUAACGCAUACAAAAACUAGGCUUUCAGAUGAACCUACUGGCGUUAAACAGGUAGUAAAGAAGCGAUCCCUGUCUUACGCACAAAAUCAAGGCGUUUAUAGAAGAGAUCCCUGUUUCACACCCAAAAACAAGGCGUAAUAGAAGAGAUCCCUGUUGCACACCAGCAACAAAUCAACCCCACGUCGGAGAUAACUAGAUUUCUUUUACGCAAAGACCUAUUUUCUCCAGGCUAACAAGCUUUAACGACCGGGCAGAAUCCUUCCAUACAUGGAAAUCAAGCUUUAAAAACGUCAUAGACGAAUUACAAGUUUCUGACUCGGAACAAAUAGACCUACUGAUAAAGUGGCUAGGGCCAGAGUCUGGUAAACAUGCCAUGAGUAUUAGGGCAUCAAAUGCCAACAACCCUACUAGAGGCUUACAGAGGUUAUGGCAAAGACUGGAUGAGCGAUAUGGUGGUGCUCCAGAAAUGUUGGAAGCUCUCUAUCACGAGUAAACUCGUCAAUUUUCCUACCUUGACGAACAAAGAUAACGCACGUCUUUAUGACUUGUCUGAUAUUCUAUCAGAAAUCGAAUAUCACAAGGAAAAUCCCAAGCUGGGAUGUUUGCUUGCUUAUUUCGAUUCUUCGUCCGGUAUAAAUCCUAUUGUGGAAAAACUACCAUACGGACUCCAAGAAAAGUGGAUAACAAGGGCUUCAAGAUACAAGUCCAAAUAUGAAGUUGCCUUUCCGCCAUUCACAGAAUUCUCUGCCUUCAUCAGGGAAAUGAGCAAAAUUAAGAACGAUCCUGGGUUCAUCUUUGGAUCAAAAGUAACACCAAAUACAAAAGACUCUACGCCAAGGUUCACACCUCAGACGUACUCUAAAGUCAACGUCCAUAAGACGGCUGUUGAACAGCAAACUGAAGACAGCAGUCAACAACAAAAUCUGUGUAUCCUACACAAGACAAAGCAUACCUUGAAUGAAUGCCGAGCAUUCCGAGCCAAACCAAUCGAGGAACGCAAGGAACUGUUAAGACAAAACAAUGUGUGCUACAAGUGUUGUGAGUCAACCACACACAGAAGUCGGGACUGCAACGCAAGUAUCAGUUGUAACGAGUGUGGAAGUGAACGACAUACCACAGCACUUCACAUCACUAGACCACAACAAUCUGAAAGUUCCCAGUUUAGCUCACCCAGACAAGCCUACGGCGGGGAGCAGACAGAGUCAGCUGAAACAAAGUUAACCUCUGUAAGUUCGAUCUGCACAGAGAUCUACAAAGAUCAUAAGAGCGAGAAAUCUUAUGCCAAGAUAUUACCUGUGGACGUGUACCACAAGGACAAGACAAACAAAAUUAUCAGGAUGUACGCCAUUAUUGACGACCAAAGCAACCGGUCUCUUGCCUCGCCUGAAUUCUUCAGUCUGUUUAACGUUCGGGAGAAACCUGAAAACUACUCUCUUACGACAUGCUCCGGCAGAGUAGCUACUUCCGGGAAAAGAGGAAAAGAUUUCGUCAUAAAAUCUGUACAUAGUGACGUACAAUUUGAUCUGCCUACAUUAAUUGAAUGUAAUAAUAUUCCCAAUCAUCGAGACGAAAUUCCUACUCCUGAAGUUGCAAUGCAUCAUCCUCAUCUGAAAGAACUCAGAGGAAGCAUUCCACCAAUAGAGGAACGUUGUCAAAUUCUUCUCCUUAUUGGAAGGGACCUUAUAGAGGCACACCACGUCCUUGAACAACGCCUAGGACCAUCCCGAACUCCAUUUGCCCAAAAGUUGAGACUUGGUUGGGUCAUAAUUGGAAAUACAUACAUUGACAAGCAAACUUCUCCUAUUCAAGUCAACACAAAGAUAACUAACGUUUCAAUCACGGAAUCAGAACAACGUCUUGCCUCAAGACCGGAAAUAGCCGUCAAGGACAAGAAUCCAAUUGUUGUUCAGUAUAACGACACAAACUUUCAUUCGAAUGCCAAGGUCGCUAAAUCGCAUUCAAUGCAAUCCCUUGAAUGUACAGGACCUAGUACCAAGCCUGGUAAACGCACAAAUUCAUCUAAAGGGACAUCACUCGCGUCACUAAAAGCAAAAUCUGUGACUUCUAUAGAAAAAUCUAUAGAUAAAGAAAGUUUCAAUCCGAAAUCAACAGAACCUAAAGUUCAUGGAGAGGAAAUCAAUAGCAUUCACAAACCUAUUCCGAAAGAAGGACCUCUUGCCAAUCUCAAUCUGCCAUUGCAUGAGCAACGUCUACUACGAGGAGGAAGCAGUAUUGUCAAAUCUGACUUGAAUAUAAGUGAAAAGGAACCAGUAGUCUUAUCUGGACAUCGUCACAGAGUAACACCUUUUCUUGGACAUUACUACGACAAAAUCAAACAUAGAGGACGCCACUCUACAGAUAGAGCGACUAGAUCUGCAGGAUUGGACGUUAUGACGAAACGCCUAAUUUCGUCUGAUACUCACAAAGAUGUGUCAUAUCGCCAAAUCGGAAGACAACCAACUACUAACUCUUGUUAUACUUCGAUCUAUCUUCGAUCGUCAUCGCCGUCUAACUACGUUGGAGAAAACAGUUCCCAUUAUCGAUACAGCAGUAAUAGAACAUUCUACAGAACACAACAAUGUCGUCCGAGACACCCUUCUUCUAAAGGACAAAAAACUGUGCCUACCCAGUUUCACGUGGAACGUACUUAUUAGGAACCUUUAUAGUGAAAAAUCGUUGAGAUCUGAUAUUUCUCACACGAAAUAGUGGACAUUUCACCUGUAUAUAUUCAAUUUAUAUUGGGAUUAAUUCAUUUGUGUAAAUCUUGUAUACAUAUUCGAAAAAUUUAUGGAAAAGUGAUAUCAGAUAGACAUCAGACGGGGAGUAUUCUGUUACACCGUUCCGUAAUUUAUAUAGUUCGUUUGAUUAUAUUCUUAAUCUAUUUAUGUGUUCCAGUCUAGGAGGAUUAUUCAUCUUUAACCUAUAAGAACAUUAAAACAUCGUAUCAUCGCUACCUUUCCCCUGCUCACACGGAUCUCAAACCGAACAUUGCAAGGUCAUACCAGUUCUGGAGAACUUUUCAAAGGACAAACGUCAUCUAGGACACAAUUCGUGGCUAACCACAGAGUGAGUUAACUUUACAACAUUGUUUUUGAAGCCUUCAAAUUACUCUAUACAUAUUUGAACAUUCUCUCCGUGAAACACUGGAAAUUUAACUGCUCUUGAAAGUACAACAUUUUCUCGGAUUCAACGGACUGUGCUAUCUAUUACCUUUGACAUUUCGUUUUAAUAACAUUAAUUGAACACAUUGUAAAAUUGUAUUUUAUUUGUUUUUCAGCUUUUUACCAUUUGUUAGAUUGGACUCUUGAAUUAAAGUAUCAGCACCUGAUAGUCUUUUCUGCUUGAGCCCAAUCGUCGGUUAUACUUAAUGGUCAGGCCAUACACGUAGCCUUUGGUUGAUUUGGAACCCCUCACUUCCCUUGUUGACGGAAACAUUUCGACCAAACAUUUGGAUAAAAAUUUUCUGUUUGUUUCUUAACUCGUGUCGGUCGUAUUGUAAAUUCCAUCGAAUAGCCUGGCUUAUAUCUUGAUACUAACUAACAUCAACAACGAAAUUUUCCAUGUCCAUUUUAAUGCAAGUCCAAUAAAUAUAUUAGUACAUAGCUUUGGAUCCAUCCCAUCAUUUUAUAAUAGACAAUUAAUGUGGAGAAUACGGCAUAAAAAAUGUCCAACUCUUACACUUUACAGCAACUAUAAAAUAUACAUGUCCAAAGUCAAGAAACGCUUAAAAAGUGCAUUUUACACUAAUUUUAUGCUUUUAGUCUAAAAAGUCCCAAAAAUUUUUCGCCUCGCUCCGCUCGCCAAUUUUUAGUCACUUCGCCCCCCUCCCUUUCCAAAAUCCUGGAUCCGCCCCUGGUUACUGGCUCUGAGCUAGCAGUCAGGAAUUAAGAGUACUCUCAGUUCUAUACUUUGUGUCAUUUUUGUUGUGCGAGAUGUAUAAAUACCCCACCAUGCAUGUCCGGUCUGCCCUUUGUAAGCCCUCUUUUUUAAAAACUUUUCGACGAUCCGAUGAGUUGAGCCCUAUUCCAAAUAUUGUUAUAGUUUGUUCUUGUGUUGUACUAUAAUACCACUGUCCAAGGGGAUGAUUGGCUAUUUCAAUCAUGGCUAACCCGCCCCAUUCUAUAUGUGCAUGACGUAAGUCAGGAUCCCUGUACUAGUGGUUGUUGCUUAUUGCUGUUUCGAAUUCUCAUACAAAAAAUAUUUGUUUUUUGCCCAUUGUUUUUUUAUAGUCCGUUGUUGUGUUGUUCCUUUACACUACGAUCUUAGGUGAGGGUAUAUAUGGUUGGCGCCUUCAAAUACUUUUAACAUCGCCAUUUGUAUGUGAUUGCGUAAAAGCUAUGUUCAAAACCACAAUGCCUAAGUCUUAUAAAUAAGCUAAAAUUUAAUCUAUCUGUUACUCUUUUUAGGUAUGGCAUCUGGUACAACUACAGACGUCAACUGUGGACCAUGAUUAUAUAACAGUAAUUCAGUGCCCGGUAAGGGGUGGUGUUUGUCGUGCGAGGAAGGCCUAUGUCAGUCGUGUGUUGACAGUCAUAAGGGUAGUAAGGCUUCCAGAAACCACAAAGUUAUUCCGAUUGAAAAAUGUCACCACGUGGUUUCCAUCGGACAUUUGAUGUCACAAACCUGUAAAACCCACAGCAAAGUUCUUGAUCUUUAUUGUCCUUCCCAUGAUGCUCCUGUAUGUUCUUUAUGUAUAGCCGAGGUCCACAGAGAAUGCAAGAGCAUCGUAUCAUUGGAUGAAGUCGCUAAAAAUGUUGUUUCAUCUUCUUCGUUUUGUAAUCUAGAACAAAAUGUCGGUAAUCUUCUCAAAAACUUAUCCCAGUUGAAGGCAGAACGGGAACGGAAUUCUAAACAGCUUCAAAAUGAUAAAACAACGAAAACUGCAUCCGUCAAAGAAAUAAGGAGAAAACUUAAU
rnacentral:lncRNA from 1 species